rnacentral:rRNA from 1 species
CCAAUAGCGUAUAUUAAAGUUGUUGCAGUUAAAAAGCUCGUAGUUGAACCUUAGGCCCGUGCGGGCGGUCCGUCCUCUGGGCGAGCACUGCUUCGUCGCGGGUCUCACCUUCUGGCGAGCGUGGAUGCCAUUUAUUUGGUGUCCGCGGGAACCAGGACCUUUACCUUGAAAAAAUUAGAGUGCUCAAAGCGGGCUCCGACGCUUGAAUACAUUAGCAUGGAAUAAUGAAAUAGGACGAUGGUUCUAUUUUGUUGGUUUCCGGGACCGUCGUAAUGAUUAAUAGGGAUAGUUGGGGGCAUUCGUAUUCAAUUGUCAGAGGUGAAAUUCUUGGAUUUAUUGAAGACGAACUACUGCGAAAGCAUUUGCCAAGGAUGUUUUCAUUAAUCAAGAACGAAAGGUGGGGGAUCGAAGACGAUCAGAUACCGUCGUAGUCUCAACCAUAAACUAUGCCGACUGGGAAUCGGGCGAUGUUACUUUUCUGACUCGCUCGGCGCCCCGAG